CCUACGGGAGGCUGCCGUGAGGAAUAUUGGUCAAUGGACGAGAGUCUGAACCAGCCAAGUAGCGUGAAGGAUGACUGCCCUAUGGGUUGUAAACUUCUUUUAUAUGGGAAUAAAACGUUCCACGUGUGGGAUUUUGUAUGUACCAUAUGAAUAAGGAUCGGCUAACUCCGUGCCAGCAGCCGCGGUAAUACGGAGGAUCCGAGCGUUAUCCGGAUUUAUUGGGUUUAAAGGGAGCGUAGGUGGAUUGUUAAGUCAGUUGUGAAAGUUUGCGGCUCAACCGUAAAAUUGCAGUUGAAACUGGCAGUCUUGAGGACAGUAGAGGUGGGCGGAAUUCGUGGUGUAGCGGUGAAAUGCUUAGAUAUCACGAAGAACUCCGAUUGCGAAGGCAGUUCACUGGACUGCAACUGACACUGAGGCUCGAAAGUGUGGGUAUCAAACAGGAUUAGAUACCCGGGUAGUC
rnacentral:rRNA from 1 species